UACGGGGGGGGCAAGCGUUGUUCGGAAUUACUGGGCGUAAAGGGUUCGUAGGUGGCUCGCUAAGUCAGACGUGAAAUCCCUCAGCUUAACUGGGGAACUGCGUCUGAGACUGAUGAGCUUGAGUGCAGGAGAGGAACGCGGAAUUCCAGGUGUAGCGGUGAAAUGCGUAGAUAUCGGGAGGAACACCAGUGGCGAAGGCGGCGAUCUGGGAAGAUACUGACGCUGAGGUGCGAAAGCGUGGGGAGCAAACAGG
rnacentral:rRNA from 1 species